rnacentral:rRNA from 1 species
CCUACGGGCGGCAGCAGUGAGGAAUAUUGGUCAAUGGCCGAGAGGCUGAACCAGCCAAGUCGCGUGAGGGAAGACGGCCCUACGGGUUGUAAACCUCUUUUGUCGGGGAGCAAAGAGAGUCACGUGUGACUCAUUGAGAGUACCCGAAGAAAAAGCAUCGGCUAACUCCGUGCCAGCAGCCGCGGUAAUACGGAGGAUGCGAGCGUUAUCCGGAAUGACUGGGCGUAAAGGGUGCGUAGGUGGUUUGGCAAGUUGGUAGCGUAAUCCCGGGGCUCAACCUCGGUGCUACUACCAAAACUGUUGAACUGGAGUGCAGGAGGGGUGAAUGGAAUUCCCAGUGUAGCGGUGGAAUGCGUAGAUAUUGGGAAGAACACCAGCGGCGAAGGCGAUUCACUGGACUGUAACUGACACUGAGGCACGAAAGCGUGGGGAGCAAACAGGAUUAGAUACCCUGGUAGUC